UGGGGAAUCUUGGACAAUGGGGGCAACCCUGAUCCAGCGAUGCCGCGUGGGUGAAGAAGGCCUUCGGGUUGUAAAGCCCUUUAGGCUGGGAAGAAGUGUGCGGGGUGAAUAAUCCUGUACAUUGACGGUACCAGCAGAAUAAGCACCGGCAAACUCUGUGCCAGCAGCCGCGGUAAUACAGAGGGUGCGAGCGUUAAUCGGAUUUACUGGGCGUAAAGGGCGCGUAGGCGGUUAUAUGAGUGUGAUGUGAAAGCCCCGGGCUUAACCUGGGAAGUGCAUCGCAAACGAUAUGGCUAGAGUAGAUGAGAGGGUGGCGGAAUUUCCGGUGUAGCGGUGAAAUGCGUAGAGAUCGGAAGGAACGUCAAUGGCGAAGGCAGCCACCUGGCAUCAUACUGACGCUGAGGCGCGAAAGCGUGGGGAGCAAACAGGAUUAGAUACCCCCGUAGUCC
rnacentral:rRNA from 1 species